GGCUGCUUGGUCCAGGGGUAAGAUGGAUCCUUCGGGUUUUGCACCCAGAACAACUGUUCUAGAUUGGAUUCGACCCGGGUUCGAGUCCCGGAGCGGCCC